GCCCAGCCCUAAACUCUGAUAGUCCGGCUACACCCGACUAUCCGCCUGGGUACUACAAGCCCAAGCUUUAAACCCAAAGGACUUGGCGGUGCUUAAGAUCCACCUAGAGGAGCCUGUUCUAUAACCGAUGACCCCCGUUCAACCUCACCCUCCCUUGUUUUUACCGUCUGUAUACCGCCGUCGUCAGCCUACCCUGUGAGGGAUUAGUAGUCAGCAGGAUUGUUACACCCCUAAACGUCAGGUCGAGGUGCAGCGUAUGAGAGGGAAAGAAAUGGGCUACAUUUCCUUAUGCAGGAAAUACGAAUAAUGAUAUGAAAUAAACAUAUUGAAGGAGGAUUUAGCAGUAAAUGAGAAACAGAGCGUCUCAUUGAAAUUGGCCCUAAAGC
rnacentral:rRNA from 1 species